rnacentral:lncRNA from 1 species
AACUCUGAAAACCCUUUACUUGAAGUUAUAUUAAUUGUUGAACGACAUCGAUAUCGCACCAGUCCCUGUGGAGACGAUAAAAAUAUACUUACUUUUGUACAUCAACAAAAUGGCGCCGUUGCCGGGGACUGGCAUUUAGAUAUUGGAGCAUAUCAACAAUUUAUAUUCUUUUAAGUAUUUGUAUAUAUUUGUUUAUAUUGUAUAGUUUUUCUUGCACUAAUCCUUCUUUGCUAGACAAAGAAAGUUGUUUUUCUUGUUUGUUGAAUCCUUUUUCAGAUUCCCCAUUAAAAGUNNNNNUGGUUAUUACAACUUCUAUAUUUCGGGUUAGUAUGAAUCAUAUCAACAGUGUCCUCCUUAUAAUUAUGGGCAAACUUCAGAGGCUAGAUUGGAGGAGACCAUGAUUAAAUUCAUGGAAAUGCAGCAACAACAAAUGCAACAGAUGCAAGACCAGCACCAACAAUAUCUGAAAAACAGUCUUGCACGGGCCAAAAAUUUGGAAAAUCAGCUUGUUCAGUUGGCUAAACAGUUAGCCAAUAACAAUAACCAAGGAGAAACAUUUCAAACCAACACACAUACCACUCCUGACGAGAAAGAUAAUAAUCCAA